rnacentral:rRNA from 1 species
UACAGAGGUCUCAAGCGUUUGUUCGGAUUUACUGGGCGUAAAGGGCGCGUAGGCGGCGUGUUAAGUCACUUGUGAAAUCUCUAAGCUUAACUUAGAACGGUCAAGUGAUACUGAUGUGCUAGAGUGCAGAAGGGGCAACCGGAAUUCUUGGUGUAGCGGUGAAAUGCGUAGAUAUCAAGAGGAACACCUGAGGUGAAGACGGGUUGCUGGGCUGACACUGACGCUGGAGGCGCGAAAGCUAGGGUAGCAAACGGG